CCUACGGGUGGCUGCAGUGAGGAAUAUUGGUCAAUGGACGCAAGUCUGAACCAGCCAAGUAGCGUGCAGGAUGACGGCCCUCCGGGUUGUAAACUGCUUUUAGUUGGGAAUAAAAGGGGGCUCGUGAGCCCCGUAUUGUAUGUACCAUCAGAAAAAGGACCGGCUAAUUCCGUGCCAGCAGCCGCGGUAAUACGGAAGGUCCGGGCGUUAUCCGGAUUUAUUGGGUUUAAGGGGUGCGCAGGCGGCCUGUUAAGUCAGCGGUAAAGGCCCGGGGCUCAACCCCGGCGAGCCGUUGAAACUGGCGGGCUGGAGUUGGAGAGAAGUACGCGGAAUGCGCGGUGUAGCGGUGAAAUGCUUAGAUAUCGCGCAGAACCCCGAUUGCGAAGGCAGCGUACCGGCUCCACACUGACGCUGAGGCACGAAAGUGUGGGUAUCGAACAGGAUUAGAUACCCCUGUAGUC
rnacentral:rRNA from 1 species